rnacentral:rRNA from 1 species
AGAGUUUGAUCCUGGCUCAGAUUGAACGCUGGCGGUAUGCUUAACACAUGCAAGUCGAACGGAAACGAUGGUAGCUUGCUACCAGGCGUCGAGUGGCGGACGGGUGAGUAACGCGUAGGAAUCUGCCUGAUAGUGGGGGAUAGCCCAGAGAAAUCUGGAUUAAUACCGCAUAAUCUCUAUGGAGUGAAGGAGCCCUCUUCUUGAAAGGUUUCGCUAUCAGAUGAGCCUGCGUAAGAUUAGCUUGUUGGUGAGGUAAAAGCUCACCAAGGCGACGAUCUUUAGCUGGUCUGAGAGGAUGAUCAGCCACACUGGAACUGAGACACGGUCCAGACUCCUACGGGAGGCAGCAGUGGGGAAUAUUGGACAAUGGGCGCAAGCCUGAUCCAGCAAUACCGCGUGUGUGAAGAAGGCCUGAGGGUUGUAAAGCACUUUCAAUUGUGAAGAAAAGCUAAUGGCUAAUACCCAUUAGCCUUGACGUUAACUUUAGAAGAAGCACCGGCUAACUCCGUGCCAGCAGCCGCGGUAAUACGGAGGGUGCAAGCGCUAAUCGGAAUUACUGGGCGUAAAGCGUGCGUAGGUGGUUUGUUAAGUUAGAUGUGAAAGCCCUGGGCUCAACCUAGGAACUGCAUUUAAAACUGGCAAACUAGAGUAUAGGAGAGGAAAGUGAAAUUUCA